rnacentral:rRNA from 1 species
GCCUACAACCAUGCUACCCUGAAUGUGCCUGAUCUUGUCUGAUCUCAGAGGCUAAGCAGCGUUGGGCCUGGUUAGUACUUGGAGGGGAGACUGCCUUGGAAUACUGGGCGCUAUAGGCU